AUACUUACCUGGCAGGGCAGACACCUUAAUCAUGAAGGAGGUUCACCCAGGGAGAGGCUUAGCUGCUGCACUCCGGCUGUGCUGACCGUUGCAAAUUCUCCAAAUGUGGCAAUCUCCACUGCAUCAUUUGUGGUAGUCAGAUCAUAAAAAGAGAUUUCAGG
ensembl:snRNA U1 U1 spliceosomal RNA